GAGUCAAGCUCAGAGUGACGCCCAGCCGCCAUAAAUGAGGCGAAGGGGGCGGGGCCAGGGACAUCAAGUCUGAGGGCACAGAAGAGACAAUCAGCGCGGUGGAGAUUUAGAAGCAGAGUGAGGACUCACUGUUGGACGGAGGAUCUUUGCAUUCCCCCUCCUCGAUGGUGACGUCAUCGAUGGCGAUGUCUCCCUCGAUGCCGGCGCCGCGCACGCCCUCCAUCACCACCUGGCGUGGAGAACACGCAGGUGACCAAUCACAGCGCUGCCCACUACUUGCUGUCCAUAUCUUACCAAGGUGUGCACCAGUAACCAGGCAAAGAGUUUUUCUAAAGAUGAAUGACAACGUUGGACUAAGACGUGGGUCACCAGGUUUCCCCUUUGGAGCCAGGCCUGGGGGCGAGGCUCGUGCUUCGGACAAUCCACUACAGGAUCCCCUGUGAUGAACCACAACUCCUGCCCCCGUGACCUGACUCCAGAUAAGUGGAAGAUGGAUGGAUGAAUAAAAAAAUAUUACUAGUGAGAAACCUCACCAUUUGAUCCGAGUCUGAUUCCUCAGGAGACCAUGGGGAAGACCCAGGACAUGGUGGAGAGACUAUGUCUCCCAACUGGCCUGGGAACACCUCUGGAUCACUCGGGAGGACUUGGACCUAGUAUCUGGGGAAAGGAAAGUCUGGUCUUCUCUGCUUAGGCUGCUGCCCCCACGACCUGACUCCGGAUAAGCGGGAGAAGAUGGAUGGAUUAUAGUGGAACUUUUUCAAAAUAGUUUCGAUGUUAGAGAAGAUCCUUCUGGUUUUAUGAAGAUGACUUCAACUGUCUUUUAAACAUUUUGAAAUAAGAAGUGAAAAAAUCCCCUUUUUCUAACCAAUUUUUGAAAGUUAGGAUUCCAUUGAGAGUCGGGAUGAAGGAUUUUUUAAAUAAUUUAAAUCGGGAUGAAUAACAAUCGCGAUUUGGAUGUUAAAUAAUUUUUUAUUGCACCUCUAAGACGGCCUAAAAACUACAUUUCAAAAAUAGUUUUUUAUGAAAGUCCCAAAAAUUUAACAUUUAAAAUUUUUUUGUGAUGUUUUUGAAAUGGACUUUCAAAAAUGUUGCAUGAUUUUAAUCAGGAUGAAUAACAAUCGUGAUUUGGAUGUUAAAUAAUUAUUCUUUUUGUCACGGCCAGGGCGCAUUGGAAUGCGCCCUCAUCCUUGCGCGCUGCAAGCACCGCAGGACACGCCCCCGCACGCGCCGCGCAGACCGCGGCCAUGCGCCUCCACAGCUGGCGGCAAUCAUCUAUCAGCACACCUGCCGGUAAUGAAGGAGCUGCCUUCACAAGCUUGGACAACCUGGCAUGCCGCCGCCGGAAUAUAGUCUCCUGUACAUACCCUCCGUCGCCUUGUAAGUGAGCUGUGCGUCUCACUUCUCCCCGGAUCUCCCUCUGGACUCUGACUGCCUCCCUCGAUCCUUGAUUUCCCUCGCAUUGGACUCGGACUCGUAGACUUCCCUCUGCCCUGGACUUCCUCGUCUAUUGACAACAUUUGGUAACAUUUUAGUCAGUUAAAUACUACACAUAGUCUUACCCCAUACACACCCUUGGAUUUUGACACACACCAUUUUAUAGUUUAUUAGUGUUGUUUAUUAUUAUUAUAUAUAUUAACUAUAUAUAUAUAAUAAAUCAUUGUACAUUACUGCCCUCUAGUGUCUGUUGCCGUCACCUUCCCCUGCAAACUAUAACAGUAUAUUCCGGCCAAUUGAUUAGGGACCUGACGGCACAGUUUCUUAGCCCCGCCCCCAGUGACAAUUUUAUUUUUAUUUUUUUCUUCCUUUUUUUCUUUUUGCCCCUCUCAGGACGUCUUUUUCUUUUACCUCCACCCUGGACAAUUUUUCUAGCCCUCCUCAACACUCCUUCAAGGGACUGUUUAACUCCAGUAUGGGGAUGGAGGAAUUUACCCGUCGCCUGAACACCCUCCUCCCACCCUUAGUGACUGUUCCUCAGCCAGCAAGAAGCGUCUGGCAUCCGCUUUCGCAGGGGGGGGGGAUAGUACUGGUGGCUGUGCUGGUGUGGUGGCGCAGCUGCACCCAGACAGGCUAACCCCUGCCAGACUAAUUCCACCUGUCUUCCGCUUUUCCCAGCCGCAGCCACCAGUCCCCUGGCUAGCGUCCGAGCUAGCACCAGUCCCCCGGCUAGCGUCCGAGCUAGCACCAGUCCCCCGGCCGAGCGUCCGAGCUAGCCCUAGUCCCCCGGCUAGCGUCCGAGCUAGCACCAGUCCCCCGGCUAGCGUCUGAGCUAGCACCAGUCCCCCGGCUAGCGUCUGAGCUAGCACCAGUCCCCCGGCUAGCGUCCGAGCUAGCCGGGCGUAAUAUCGCUAAAAUUCGUUCCAUCUUGUCCACUAGCGACACUGAGAUCAUUAUUCAUGCGUUCGUUACGUCUCGUCUCGAUUACUGUAACGUAUUAUUUUCGGGUCUCCCUAUGUCUAGCAUUAAAAGAUUACAGUUGGUACAAAAUACGGCUGCUAGA